AGUAUUUCCAUUAAACCUGGUACUGAUGAUUCAUGGCCUACAUCAGAUGAUGAAGACUUUAAUUUUGAUAUCAAGACUGUCCCAAAACCAAACUUAAGAGCACUAAUGAAUGCUUCUGAGCAAUUCAAGAAUGUGGGAACAAAAUGUGGCGUUAUAACACUAGGAGGUAGAACUUUAUCUGAGCAUGAUAAUUCUGAUUAUGAAGAUGAAAAUAUAGUUGGACUUCUUUACAAACCACCAUUCAAAGCCAAUGACUUUUCUUGUCCUGCUUUUUCAAAACCUUCUGUCAAGUCGUUAGCAGGCCAUGGUGUU